rnacentral:rRNA from 1 species
UUGCCUGUUUAUCAAAAACAUGUCCGUUUGGCGAGAUAAACGGUCUGGCCUGCUCACUGAUGAGUUUAUUUAAGAGCCGCGGUAUUUUGACCGUGCAAAGGUAGCAUAAUCAUUAGGGGUUUAAUUGGAACCUGGUAUGAAGGGUUGGACAAAGGAGGAACUGUCUUUAUAAUAAAAAUUGAAAUUUACUUUUAAGUGAAAAGGCUUAAAUACAUCAGAGGGACGAUAAGACCCUAUAAAGCUUUACAAAUUAUUUAAAUUUGGCUAGUUUAAAGAAUAAAAGUUAAAUUUAAUUGUUUUGUUUUAUUGGGGCGAUAUGAGUAUAAGUAACAUUAACUGCUUAAAAGAAAUACAAGCAUAAAUGAUUUUUGUAAGUGGAUGAUCCUUUUUAAAGAUUAAAAGACUAAGUUACUUUAGGGAUAACAGCGUUAUUCUUUUUGAGAGUUCAUAUCGAAAAAAGAGAUUGCGACCUCGAUGUUGAAUUAAAUUGUCUAUAUAAUGCAGCCGUUAUAUAAGAGGGUCUGUUCGACCUUUAAAAUUUUACAUGAUUUGAGUUCAGACCGGCGUGAGCCAGGUUGGUUUCUAUC